rnacentral:rRNA from 1 species
GAUGAACGCUGGCGGCGUGCCUAAUACAUGCAAGUCGAGCGAACAGACGAGGAGCUUGCUCCUCUGACGUUAGCGGCGGACGGGUGAGUAACACGUGGAUAACCUACCUAUAAGACUGGGAUAACUUCGGGAACCGGAGCUAAUACCGGAUAAUAUAUUGAACCGCAUGGUUCAAUAGUGAAAGACGGUUUUGCUGUCACUUAUAGAUGGAUCCGCGCCGCAUUAGCUAGUUGGUAAGGUAACGGCUUACCAAGGCGACGAUGCGUAGCCGACCUGAGAGGGUGAUCGGCCACACUGGAACUGAGACACGGUCCAGACUCCUACGGGAGGCAGCAGUAGGGAAUCUUCCGCAAUGGGCGAAAGCUUGACGGAGCAACGCCGCGUGAGUGAUGAAGGUCUUCGGAUCGUAAAACUCUGUUAUUAGGGAAGAACAGAUGUGUAAGUAACUAUGCACGUCUUGACGGUACCUAAUCAGAAAGCCACGGCUAACUACGUG